CAUCUACUCCCUCCAUUCUGAAUUAUUUGUCGCAGGUAUAGAUGUAUCUAGAUGUAUUUUAGUUUUAGAUAUAUCAUUUCUGUGACGGGUAAUUUGAAACGGAGGAAGUACAAU
rnacentral:pre_miRNA from 1 species